GAGUUUGAUCCUGGCUCAGGAUGAACGCCGGCGGUGUGCCUAAUACAUGCAAGUCGUACGCACUGGCCCAACUGAUUGAUGGUGCUUGCACCUGAUUGACGAUGGAUCACCAGUGAGUGGCGGACGGGUGAGUAACACGUAGGUAACCUGCCCCGGAGCGGGGGAUAACAUUUGGAAACAGAUGCUAAUACCGCAUAACAACGAAAGCCACAUGGCUUUUGUUUGAAAGAUGGCUUUGGCUAUCACUCUGGGAUGGACCUGCGGUGCAUUAGCUAGUUGGUAAGGUAACGGCUUACCAAGGCGAUGAUGCAUAGCCGAGUUGAGAGACUGAUCGGCCACAAUGGAACUGAGACACGGUCCAUACUCCUACGGGAGGCAGCAGUAGGGAAUCUUCCACAAUGGGCGCAAGCCUGAUGGAGCAACAUCGCGUGAGUGAAGAAGGGUUUCGGCUCGUAAAGCUCUGUUGUUGGAGAAGAACGUGCGUGAGAGUAACUGUUCACGCAGUGACGGUAUCCAACCAGAAAGUCACGGCUAACUACGUGCCAGCAGCCGCGGUAAUACGUAGGUGGCAAGCGUUAUCCGGAUUUAUUGGGCGUAAAGCGAGC
rnacentral:rRNA from 1 species